CCUACGGGCGGCUGCAGUGGGGAAUAUUGCACAAUGGGCGCAAGCCUGAUGCAGCCAUGCCGCGUGUGUGAAGAAGGCCUUCGGGUUGUAAAGCACUUUCAGCGGGGAGGAAGGCGUUAAGGUUAAUAACCUUGGCGAUUGACGUUACCCGCAGAAGAAGCACCGGCUAACUCCGUGCCAGCAGCCGCGGUAAUACGGAGGGUGCAAGCGUUAAUCGGAAUUACUGGGCGUAAAGCGCACGCAGGCGGUCUGUCAAGUCGGAUGUGAAAUCCCCGGGCUCAACCUGGGAACUGCAUUCGAAACUGGCAGGCUAGAGUCUUGUAGAGGGGGGUAGAAUUCCAGGUGUAGCGGUGAAAUGCGUAGAGAUCUGGAGGAAUGCCGGUGGCGAAGGCGGCCCCCUGGACAAAGACUGACGCUCAGGUGCGAAAGCGUGGGGAGCAAACAGGAUUAGAUACCCUUGUAGUC
rnacentral:rRNA from 1 species